rnacentral:rRNA from 1 species
UGUCUUGUAAUUGGAAUGAUGGGAAUUUAAACCUCUUCCAGAGUAUCAAUUGGAGGGCAAGUCUGGUGCCAGCAGCCGCGGUAAUUCCAGCUCCAAUAGCGUAUAUUAAAAUUGUUGCAGUUAAAAAGCUCGUAGUUGAAUUUCUGCUGCAUUGUUUCUUCUCAUGUCGAGUGAUUCAUUGUGGCUUAUUUCGGAUUGUUUUUUACUUUCCGGAUGAUUACUUUGAGAAAAUUAGAGUGCUCAAAGCAGGCUUUUGCCUUGAAUAGUUUAGCAUGGAAUAAUAAAGUAGGACUUUGGUUCUAUUUUGUUGGUUUUAGGUACCAAAGUAAUGGUUAAUAGGAACAGUUGGGGGCAUUCGUAUUUAACUGUCAGAGGUGAAAUUCUUAGAUUUGUUAAAGACGAACUACUGCGAAAGCAUUUGCCAAGGAUGUUUUCAUUAAUCAAGAACGAAAGUUAGGGGAUCGAAGACGAUCAGAUACCGUCGUAGUCCUAACCAUAAACUA